rnacentral:rRNA from 1 species
UUGGAGGGCAAGUCUGGUGCCAGCAGCCGCGGUAAUUCCAGCUCCAAUAGCGUAUAUUAAAGUUGUUGCAGUUAAAAAGCUCGUAGUUGAAUUUCGGGAUCAAAUUGUCGGUCGUGCCUCGGUACGCACUGGUAUUAUUGGUUCCUACCUUCUGAAGAACCGCGAUGUCAUUAAUUUGGUGUCGUGGGGAAUCAGGACUGUUACUUUGAAAAAAUUAGAGUGUUUAAAGCAGGCUUACGCUUGAAUACAUUAGCAUGGAAUAAUGAAAUAGGACGUUUGAUUCUAUUUUGUUGGUUUCUAGGAUUGACGUAAUGAUUAAUAGGGAUAGUUGGGGGCAUUAGUAUUCAAUUGUCAGAGGUGAAAUUCUUGGAUUUAUUGAAGACUAACUACUGCGAAAGCAUUUGCCAAGGAUGUUCUCAUUAAUCAAGAACGAAAGUUAGGGGAUCGAAGACGAUCAGAUACCGUCGUAGUCUUAACCAUAAACUAUGCCGACUAGGGAUCGGAUGAUGUUAAUUUUUUAAUGACUCAUUCGGCGCCUUACGGGAAACCAAAGUGUUUGGGUUC